rnacentral:tRNA from 1 species
CAAAAUAUAACUUAAAGUAAGUAUUUCAUUUACACUGGAGAUUUUCAUGUGCGAUUCAUGAUGUUUUGA